UACGUAGGGGGCGAGCGUUGUCCGGAUUUAUUGGGCGUAAAGAGCUCGUAGGCGGUUUGGAAAGUCGGGUGUGAAAACUCCGGGCUCAACUCGGAGACGCCACUCGAUACUGCCAUGACUAGAGUCCGGUAGGGGAGUGCGGAAUUCCUGGUGUAGCGGUGAAAUGCGCAGAUAUCAGGAGGAACACCGGUGGCGAAGGCGGCACUCUGGGCCGGAACUGACGCUGAGGAGCGAAAGCGUGGGGAGCAAACAGG
rnacentral:rRNA from 1 species